GAUGAACGCUGGCGGCGUGCCUAAUUCAUGCAAGUCGAGCGAACAGACGAGGAGCUUGCUCCUCUGACGUUAGCGGCGGACGGGUGAGUAACACGUGGAUAACCUACCUAUAAGACUGGGAUAACUUCGGGAAACCGGAGCUAAUACCGGAUAAUAUAUUGAACCGCAUGGUUCAAUAGUGAAAGACGGUUUUGCUGUCACUUAUAGAUGGAUCCGCGCCGCAUUAGCUAGUUGGUAAGGUAACGGCUUACCAAGGCAACGAUGCGUAGCCGACCUGAGAGGGUGCUCGGCCACACUGGAACUGAGACACGGUCCAGACUCCUACGGGAGGCAGCAGUAGGGAAUCUUCCGCAAUGGGCGAAAGCCUGACGGAGCAACGCCGCGUGAGUGAUGAAGGUCUUCGGAUCGUAAAACUCUGUUAUUAGGGAAGAACAAAUGUGUAAGUAACUAUGCACGUCUUGACGGUACCUAAUCAGAAAGCCACGGCUAACUACGUG
rnacentral:rRNA from 1 species